CUAAGAAUAUUCCGCAAUGGACGGAAGUCUGACGGAGCGACGCCGCGUGGAUGACGAAGGCCGAAAGGUUGUAAAGUUCUUUUGCUGGGGAAGAAUAGCCGCAGGAGGGAAUGCCUGUGGGAUGACAAGAACCGGCGAAUAAGCCCCGGCCAACUACGUGCCAGCAGCCGCGGUAACACGUAGGGGGCGAGCGUUGUUCGGAAUUACUGGGCGUAAAGGGCAUGUAGGCGGCUUGGAAAGCCUGGCGUGAAAGUCUGCAGCUUAACUGCAGGGGUGCGCUGGGAACUGCUGAGCUUGAGUGACGGAGAGGGAGCUGGAAUUCCUGGUGUAGGGGUGAAAUCUGUAGAUAUCAGGAAGAACACCGAUGGCGAAGGCAAGCUCCUGGCCGAUGACUGACGCUGAGGUGCGAAAGUGUGGGGAUCAAAACAGGAUUAGAUACCCUGGUAGUCCACACAGUCAACGAUGUGCACUAGGUGCUGGGGCGGUAGCUUCGGUGCCGGAGCGAACGUGGUGAAGUGCACCGCCUGGGGAGUAUGCUCGCAAGGGUGAAACUC
rnacentral:rRNA from 1 species